CUUCAGUUUCUCGUGCAACACUCGUGCAGUACGAGUUUUGCCAAUCGAAAACGCUAUGAGAUGUUGGUUCAAAACAAACGUUCACGUUGUUAUAGCGUACGCGUACUCUAUCUUUUAUUUCUUACUCUGAGGGCUUACCUGCUUACCAUUGGCGGAACAACGUAGCCACGGGCCUGUGUGCGAAUUUUUUUGCUGAGCCCCUAUUAUGAUACGACUUAUUGAUAACAAUAUUAAUUUAGGUAUGUUCCUGAAUCUGAAGCCGGGCUCAGACGACUCGUGUACUUGGCGAAUAAUCGUUACUUUCGUAUACUUGGCAUGUCGUGUGAGUGGGUUACUUGUACAAUUAAUUGUCACUCGUUAGUUUUCCAUUUCUUGUCGGUAAAAUUGGUCCGAGUCAAAGGGAUCACGAUUAUUCGCACACUUGCCAAGUACAUACUUAUCUAUACUUGUAGAGGCGCUCAAACGGAAUGCACAAAUAAUUUGCCUUUAGUGCGAUUAUUAAUUUAGUUUUCAGUUAAAGACGGAAGCGUACAGACGUUUUUUUUUUUUUUUUCUUUUUUUAUUGAAAUGGAGUGGACAAAUGAGAUUGUGUUGGAAUUUCUUGUUUUUUAUGAAAAUGAGCCGGUCAUUUGGAUGGCUAAACACAAAGACUCAACACAACAAAAGCCGCGGAAGCAACAACUAAAUUCUCUGGACGACCGCUAUCCAUAAUGGCAGUCACGUCACUGUCUAGUCAUUCAUUUGUACAAAGUAUACAAAUGUUCGCCCCAAAUAUUCGCCCUCGCGUACUUGUACAAUGUACACGUCGUGUGAGUGCCCUGCUUGCCAUCGCAACUCGCCAAGCUCGUAUACUUCCCAAGUACGCAAAUAAUUGUGUAUUCGCCAAGUACACGAGUCGUCUGAGCCUGGCUUGAACAUAAAAUACGAGGAAAAAUAUGUGGUAAUCAGUCAGAGCGCGGAUUAAACGUUUACGCUUAUCAUUUCCCCACGAUUUAGAAAAUUGAAUCUUACUUUCUCAGUUAACUUUUACUAUUCAGAAAGUCAUUCGUUCGGUUAUAGUGUUAUCUCAUGACUAAUGACAAUUUAUAGCUAAUGUUUUGUACCCUUGAA